ACUGGUUGACGAUAAGAUAAGGCUCACAAUUCAAAGCACCGCGUUAUGCAUUCAUUACGAUUUUCUUGUCUUUUUGGGUCUUGCUGAAGAUGGGUUCCCUAAAUUUUAUCCAUUUUCUGUUCCCUAUUUUUGUCUUUUAUUUUAUUUAUUUAAUUUUGUGAACUUCGUAAAUUUGAGAAAUUUGAGGCACCGUCCGUGACGUUGAUGCCUGUUUCUUUCUGAGAGAAAAAAAACUAAGUCUUUAGUUAAUGGGUGCUGAGAAGGUUGACGUAUUCAAUUUGAGCUAUUGUUUAAGCUUAUUUAGACAUAUGAAAAAUUCGUUGAAUUUAUUGUCAACUCUGUCCUUUUGCACUUCGAUAGCGGUCUUUUGAAUCAUUACUCUAAUGGAGUUAUAGUUAUUUUCUGCUUCCAUCAGUUCAUUUAUGCUACCAUUCUCCUGCCAGCUUGUGUAAAGGAAUAUCUCAGAGCCAUUUCACCUUCGCAGCAAUUUUUUCGAAUGACUCAGGGCUGUGUAUCUUAAAGAGGAAAUACUGAUACUUCUGUUUUACAUGUUAGAACAUGCCUUUCAACGAAUUUUUUACCGAAUAUGGUGAAGCAAAUUUGUAUGAAAUCGAAGAGGUUGUUGGCAAGGGAAGUUAUGGUGUUGUGGCCGCUGCAGUUGAUACUCACACAGGAGAAAAGGUAGCUAUAAAAAAGAUUGACAGUGUUUUUGAGCAUGUUUCUGAAGCCACUCGCAUUCUUAGAGAAAUCAAGCUCCUUCGGUUACUUAAGCACCCAGAUAUCGUAGAAAUAAAGCACAUAAUGUUGCCUUCAUGUCGGAGAGAAUUCAAGGAUAUAUAUGUGGUUUUUGAAUUGAUGGAAACAGACCUUCAUCAUGUACUCAAGACAAAUGAUGAUCUUACUCCUGGUCAUCAUCAAUUUUUUCUGUAUCAGCUGCUUCGAGCUUUGAAAUAUAUACAUUCAGCGAAUGUGUUCCACCGGGAUUUGAAACCCAAAAACAUACUUGCUAAUGCAGACUGCAAGUUGAAGAUCUGUGAUUUUGGACUAGCUCGUGCAUCAUUUGGUGAUGCCCCAUCUGCUGUGUUCUGGACUGAUUAUGUGGCAACUCGAUGGUACCGUGCUCCUGAGCUUUGUGGUUCAUUUUUCUCCAGAUAUACUCCUGCUAUUGAUAUCUGGAGCAUAGGAUGUAUAUUUGCAGAAAUUCUCACAGGCAAACCAUUGUUUCCUGGGAAAAAUGUGGUCCACCAAUUGGAUCUCAUAACUGAACUUCUUGGUUCACCCUCUUCUGAAUGCCUGUCUAGGAUUCGAAAUGAGAAGGCACGAAGAUAUUUAAGUAGCAUGAAAAAGAAAGCACCUGUUCCUCUCUCACAAAAGUUACCAAAUGUCGAUCCAUUGGCUCUUCAUUUACUUGAACGUUUGAUAGCAUUUGAUCCCAAAGAUCGUCCAUCUGCUGAAGAGGCAUUGGCAGAUCCAUAUUUUUAUGGUUUGGCAAAUGUGGAAGAUGAACCAUUAACUCAACCAAUUUCAAAAUUUGAGUUUGAGUUUGAAAGGAGAAAUUUGACAAAAGAUGAUGUAAGAGAGCUAAUCUACAGGGAGAUCUUGGAGUAUCAUCCCCAGAUGCUCCAGGAAUACCUCCGUGGCGUGGAUCAGACUCACUUUAUGUAUCCAAGCGGACUUGAUCAAUUUAAGCAAAAAUUUGUCCAACUUGAGGGACAUUCUGGUAAAGUAGAAAGGGCUCCAAUGCGAAGGCGUUAUGCCUCCUUGCCCAGGGAACGAGUCUAUGCACCUAUCGAUGAGGACACAGAGCAGAAUAGUAAUUCUAAAAGUAAAACUGUGGUUGCUAUUCCACGCCCAUGUCUUCUUAGCCCCUCCAAAUUACCAGAGAUGAAAGGAUUAGAAGCUUCCAAUACGGCAACGGAAAAUGGACGUAGGAAAACGUGCUGCAGUGCUCGAUGCUUAUUAAGAAGUUCUAGCAUUAGUGCUUCUACAUGUGUUGGUGUAGACUGCAGGGAUUAUAAGGUAAGUAUGUCUAUUUGUUAGUUAACUUGUAUCUGUGUAGGUAGAAGCCAUAUAAUGUGAUUGAGGCAAGUAAAAUCUUGUUCUUUUUGUCUAACCUGCUAAGAAGAGAAAAUUUUGGUUUUGAUAACAGAGAGACUGAUUAAUAUUCCCCUUGUACGUUGUUGCUUCCUCUGCGGGAAUAUAAUGUGUUGAGGAGAAGAAUUCUACUUGCUUUGCCCACUUAUCUGCAUUUCCUGGAGGACAGCUUCCUGGAAGGAUGAUAAUGGGGUGAAUGCAAGGUCAAAUCUAUCUGCUUUUAUAUAUGCUAAAACUAUUGAUUUUAUAGACCCUUGUGAACAACGCUGAUUGUGUUGAUAUUUGAUUAUCUACAGAAUUGUUGUCUAUUAUGCUUAUUGCCUUUUUGUAAUAUUU